GGCAGUGUGCCAGAGUGGUUAAUGGGUAUGACUCGAAUCAUCGUUAUCAUAUGGCUUCGGCCGCACAGGUUCGAGUCCUGUCACUGUCG